CAGUCAUGAGCUAGGACAAAUUUCAGGCCCACUUGAGUCAAAGGCUGAUCAAAGAUACUAAUACCUCCUCUCCAGCCUUCCCAGACGAGGAGUGGUUUACCUAGGUAACACUAAGAUGAGGAGAGAAGCAAAAGAGCUGCUUUUGAAUCUGAAGAUAGAAGCAGCAAAUCCCAUGGGGAUCCUGAACAAGGAAAGGAGACCCUGCCUAAUAGCUUCCGAGGUGGCGGCCGAGUAUCCACAGUUGGGGGACUGGAGAGAGUGGCAUUUCCUUCCACUGAGUCUACGACACAGAAGCAAAUCGAGUGGCUUUUUCUCAACAAUUUCACACCUGAACUGAUAACCAUAGCUAUAACCAUAUUGAUAACAAUUGAUAUCUAUUAAUAUGGAUCAGACAGUGAGUGGGAAGUGAGGUCAGGAAGGAAGGUGUCAGCAUGAGCCAGCACAGUGAGUGAGGCUGCAUAGGGCAAAUCAGGCUUGAGUGGAGCCCUAGAGAAGGACUGCAGGAGGCAGUCCAGGUGGACAGGGAAGUAGAGACAAGGUGUGGGGGUGGGGGAGGGGCACAGCCAUCCAGAGUUUGAAUGAGGUUGUGGCUCUUUAAUGCGCUUUAAAGCAUUUCUCCUUGAACAAACAGCCAAGUUCUCCAGCAGAAACAGUAGCAACUCUUAAUAUGUUAAUAUCAUUGUUCCCAUUGCAUGCUCUUUCCUGAUCCUCAUGAGAACUCGAGAGCUCUGUGCUUCACAGAGUGGGAAACUGAGGCUCAGUUCACAAAGUAAGAAGAUCCACUUGAUCUUCUGAAAGAAAUGACUGCACCAAGCAUCUGCAAAACAUGUGGAAUUGCAUUACAUUUCACAGUACAUUAGAGCCCAAAAUGGGACCCGAGACUAAAAUUGGCCAACUUCCUAAUUAGCCUUUUACUAAGCCUUGGGCUGGAGAAACAUGACCCCGGAGGACAUAGCGUCUGGGAUUCUGCUCCUCACUGCAGGCCUUGCGGUAAGUAUCUUUCUCCAACUAGAGCUUCCUAUUCAGAUGAAACGGUCCUAGCCCCUUCUACCCAAAAAGGGACUGGUUUGGAGUUCUUGCCUUAUUUGAGUGCGCAGAUCUAUGCACCCCAGGCCCUGGGGAGCCGCCCGGAAGGAGCAUGAGCUAUUUUGACUUGGAAUGCGGCAAGCUAGGCCAAGGAAGUUGGAGCCAAGAGAUACAGUGUCCAGCAAGACACCCGAGAGAGAGCAUUUCCCUCCAAACCAGGCCUGUGAGGAACCAAAGAGGCAAGCAGCAUAGUGGACCAUCUGCAGCACGACCCUAGAAAGUCUGCCUCAUUGCAGUGUUUCUGGAGUGUGGAGGGCUAAGCCAUUCUCUCAGGGAAGGGGAUGAACUGGCCAUUGGCUUGAGAAGUGUUUCCCUGACUUGCCCUUAGCCUAACUGAUCCCCCCAACUAAGAUUCUUACCCUCCAGCUCCAGUGAUCCCAUUUUAUGAUCCAUUCUCUUUCCCUAAGAAAGCACCCAGAUUCUCUCCUCUUACCCACCCCCUGACAUCUGAUGACUGCUUCACAUUUUCAGGCUAUUCUACCCUUUUAUCCUCAGCCUGGUCCUAAGAAUGCAGAAAAUAGUCAAUAAAUGCUGGUUGAAGAAG
rnacentral:lncRNA from 1 species